AACGAACGCUGGCGGCAUGCCUAACACAUGCAAGUCGAACGAGACCUUCUGGUCUAGUUGCGCACGGGUGCGUAACGCGUGGGAACCUGCCCUUAGGUUCGGAAUAACUCCCCGAAAGGGGUGCUAAUACCGGAUAAUGUCUUCGGACCAAAGAUUUAUCGCCUUUGGAUGGGCCCGCGUUGGAUUAGCUAGUUGGUAGGGUAAAAGCCUACCAAGGCGACGAUCCAUAGGUGGUCUGAGAGGAUGAUCAGCCACACUGGGACUGAGACACGGCCCAGACUCCUACGGGAGGCAGCAGUGGGGAAUAUUGGACAAUGGGCGAAAGCCUGAUCCAGCAAUGCCGCGUGAGUGAUGAAGGCCUUAGGGUUGUAAAGCUCUUUUACCCGGGAUGAUAAUGACAGUACCGGGAGAAUAAGCUCCGGCUAACUCCGUG
rnacentral:rRNA from 1 species